UACGUAGGGCGCAAGCGUUAUCCGGAAUUACUGGGCGUAAAGCGUGCGCAGGCGGUUCGUUGUGUCGGCGGUGAAAUCCCCGGGCUCAACCUGGGAAUGGCCGUUGAAACUGGCGAACUGGAGUGUGGCAGAGGGGGGUGGAAUUCCGCGUGUAGCAGUGAAAUGCGUAGAGAUGUGGAGGAAUACCGAUGGCGAAGGCAGCCCCCUGGGCCAAUACUGACGCUCAUGCACGAAAGCGUGGGGAGCAAACAGG
rnacentral:rRNA from 1 species